UAGGACAUAUUUUGCAGCUGGUAACCACAAUAAAAUCAGUGGGAAUCUCGAUCAGCUCGGAACGGCACUGUGGUAAAGGUGGGAGACUCUGACGCGCAUGAGUGGAUUAACGAGAUUCCCACUGUCUCUAACUACUAUCUAGCGAAACCACAGUCAAGGGAAUAAGCUUCGAAAAAAAAAUAACCCGGUUGAGCCUGACUCUAGUUUGACAUUGUGAACAGUCAUGAAAGGUGUAGCAUGGGUGAGAGACUUCGAUCGCCAAUGAAAACCACCACUUUCAUCGAUUCUUUACUUAUUUGGUAAGAAGAGGAUUGAGUUUCAGCUUUUUUUUUCUUUGUCUUAUGCAAAGCCACCUGGUGGCAUUGCUACUCUCGCCGAGACGGCGUGGAGUUUGACUGGAGCGGUACAUCUGUCAAAUCGUAACGCAGGUGUCCUAAGGCUAGCUUAGAGAGGACGGAAACCUCUCGUAGAGCAAAAGAGCAAAAACUCGCUUGUUCUUGACUUUCAGUAUAAGUACAAACCACGAAAGCGUGGCCUAUCGAUCCUUUUAAUUCAAAUAGUUUCUGGUAAGAGGUGUCAGAAAAGCUACCCCAGGUAUAACUGGUUUGUGGCAGCCAAGCGUCCAUAGUGACGCUGCUUUUUGAUCCUUCAAUGUCGACUCUUCGUAUCAUUGCGAAGCAGAAUUUGCCAGGCGUUGGAUUGUUCGCCCCAUAAUAGGGCUCGUGAGCUGGGUUUAGACCGUCGUGAGAGGGUUAGUUUUACCCUAGUGUUGACUAAUUGAUGCAAUACUAAUCCUGCUUACUACGAGAGGAACAGCAGGUUCGGAAAUUUGAUUCAUGAACUUGACCGAUCGGUCAAUGGUCUGAAGC
rnacentral:ncRNA from 1 species